AUAUAUGUUAUCGUACUGCCAACAAUCAAGUUUAUUUCUAACUGGAACUCCGCAGAUACACUAUCGUUUCAAUCAGAGCUCAAACUGUUUAUUCAACGGUACAAUAGUAUUUUUCUUAAAAUAAAACUUGUUUAAAAAUGCACAGAUUAAUAAUAGCUCUAGUAUUUCUUGUAAGUUUUUCCUUCGUAGCAGCAGUGCCUUUAAAUGGACUGAACAUCCCGUCAGAGUGCAAUGACAACGCUUCCUUCGCCGACUGUGAACUCAUAGUGCGCAGCAAGUUCUGCCAACACCGUUACUAUUCUACGUUUUGUUGUAAGUCAUGCAUGAACGCUGGCCAUAUUGAUCCGACAUCAAUAUUUGAAGAAAGGGUGGAGGACAGAGAUGUUUCAGGACUGAACAUCCCGUCAGAGUGCAAUGACAACGCUUCCUUCGCCGACUGUGAACUCAUAGUGCGCAGCAAGUUCUGCCAACACCGUUUCUAUUCUACAUUUUGUUGUAAGUCAUGCAUGAACGCUGGCCGAAAUUUGAAGAAAGGGACAGAGAUCACUGGAAGUAACUUAGUUCCUGCGAAUGACACUACACUAAUAUAAAUUAAACCUUAUAUUAAUUAACUUAUGAGAAACAACUUAAUACAGCAUAAGAAUGUACUUUGAUUCACUUUUUGAUCUUUUUAGAUUAUCUUUAUUAGAUAUAUUAUCAAUUUGAUCUAUGUCAUGUUAUUCACUAAAUUAUAAUAAUGUUAAAUAACAAUAUGUAUAUAUUAGGUUAGAUUUAAGACUCACUACUACACGGUCACAUUAUCUCUGGACCUCGCUGGAACGUGAAGCUCCAUCCCGUACCUCUUUCACCCCUGUUGCGUCAGUACGGUUUGCAGUUUCAUGACCGUUAGGUGUACCUAUGUCGUGAUAUGUUCGUGCUAUAACUGCUUUGCUUUUGUUGUUAAUAGUUCUGUAGUCUGUUAAUUUAUGUAAAAAAAUAUUUUUAUACUUAAUCCAGAUUCAUUCAUUGAUUUCCCAUAAUAAUAAUUAUCAGCACACAACACACAUUAACAUCAAUCUAUAAUACUGACAAAAUAAAUAUUUUUUUAAUAAUUCGUAAUAACAAUAUCCUAGUGAUGCUUGUUUUGCACACCGCGACCGUAACAAACCAACGAUGUGACGUCAUGCAACAGGUACAGAGAUAUCCGGUAACCGGGUAGCAAUCCAUUGUCAUUCUGUCAAUUAUAUUAUUCUCAUAAUUAUAUUUUACUGAAAUAAAACAAAAUAAUGCUGUAACAUAAA